CAGGUGCUGCAUGGCUGUCGUCAGCUCGUGUUGUGAAAUGUUGGGUUAAGUCCCGCAACGAGCGCAACCCUUAUCCUUUGUUGCCAGCGAUUCGGUCGGGAACUCAAAGGAGACUGCCGGUGAUAAACCGGAGGAAGGUGGGGAUGACGUCAAGUCAUCAUGGCCCUUACGAGUAGGGCUACACACGUGCUACAAUGGCGUAUACAAAGAGAAGCGACCUCGCGAGAGCAAGCGGAACUCAUAAAGUACGUCGUAGUCCGGAUUGGAGUCUGCAACUCGACUCCAUGAAGUCGGAAUCGCUAGUAAUCGUAGAUCAGAAUGCUACGGUGAAUACGUUCCCGGGCCUUGUACACACCGCCCGUCACACCAUGGGAGUGGGUUGCAAAAGAAGUAGGUAGCUUAACCUUCGGGAGGGCGCUUACCACUUUGUGAUUCAUGACUGGGGUGAAGUCGUAACAAGGUAACC
rnacentral:rRNA from 1 species